rnacentral:misc_RNA from 1 species
UCCCCUGUUCUUGAAGUUCUUCCUAUUUUCUUGAUUAUCCCUCAAAAUUUCCUUUCCCUGAGUUUCUAUUCUGCUUUCCAACAAUCAGAGUUCUAACUUUCUUUAUUUUCUUUGCUUUCUUGAAGUUCUUCACGUGAGGCCUUUGAUUCCAAAGGUUUGCAAGAUGUCUAAGAGUGUAGUGAUAAGUCAAGAAGCUGUUAGAAUGGAUGAAUUGG